AGAAAGUGAGCAAAGGAUGUCUAGGAAGCCAGCCUAGGGAUAAAGGAAGAAACUGCUUAAAUAACUAGAGCAGCAGUCUGUGGACAUUUAGUGAAGAGGCUGCCCUCCAUAUCAUUAGACUUGCCACAGAGGAAGAGAUGCUAAAAAUUGGCAUCUAGGCUAACUUAGUAGGUGGGAGGAAUUCAGUGAGUCCGUUCUGAAAUCCGAAGUCCUCAAUUGCUAUGCGACAUCCAGAACAUCAGCAGGAUGCUCAUGUAAACUUUGGUGCAGUAAACCCAUGGAGCAUUGGGUCUCAAGAUGUGGCUCUUGAAUCAGCAACAUCAGCAUUACGUGGAAACAGAGGAUGAAAACCUGAACUGAACUUAAAACAGAUUCAUCAAGCCCAUUGUCUAGAAUUAAGUGAAGAGGAUGAGCGACUUGAAACAGAAAAGUGACACAACUUGCUGUGGUUACCCAGCUAGGAAGAGGCAGAAUUGAGACUUGAAGCCAGGAAACCUGGCUCUUCACCACCAUAUAAUCUCCACAGCAGCCCACUGGGUGGAUAUCAUUUUCUCAUACUGGGCAAACAGAAGCUUAGGGGAGCGAAGUAGCUUGAACUUGCCUUCUACCCUCUAUUACGCUCAGGUAAGAGUGUGUCAUCUCACACAUAUUAGUGGCCAGUUAUGUCUUGGUUAAAGGUAAACAAAAAGCAGGCUUGGAUGUGGUUAUGCCCACCUGUGGUUGUCUGCCAGAGCCCUGCAUGCUGUUCCAGGUGGAGCAAGGUCAUGAAGGUGCUCAGGAGGGGUCAGGGUGGGUGUGAGAAGACAGUGAGGUCUGUGGAAGGACAUUCGAAAAUAGUUUGCAAUUCUCCUAGCACAUCUGCUGGCUGAUGAGAAAAUGACUAAAGCUCCAGAAGGUGGACUGAGCUUGUUCUCUAGGGCCAUGAUCCCUGCUAGACCCUGCUGACAGGGGAGGCUGGGUUAGCAUCCUCCUCCAUCCUGAGGGUUACUAGCUAGGGAAACUUUCUCUGCAGAUGCUAUUGGUCAGACUGAAACAAAGGUAGGAGAAGAGGGAAAAGAAGAGAACCAAAGCAGGGGAGACAGGAAGAGGGAAAGGAGUUGGAGUAAAAAAAAGUACGGAAGACAAGGUAAAGAAAGGAGCCCAGUACUGGAGUUUAUCUACCCGUGUCAGAGGAGAGAGUGAGACUGCUCUGGAGCCAGAGGUCUCCUGUUCCCCUGCUCCUGGGGAGAAAGCAGGUUCCUUCCCCUCCGGGCUCUGAAUCCUGCACCAGCCAAAAAAUUCAUUUGAAAAAUUAAAUUAUGUCUGAGGUGCCAGCACCCCUCCAAAUGCCCUGGAGGUCAGACAAUCAGGAUUUAAAUUAAUUGCUUAAUGGAAAAAAACGUUUAUGAGAACAACGCUGAUAAUUUGCUAAAACUAGGGUAUGUUUGUAACUCUUGGAAAUGAAUUGCUGGUUACAAGAAUUAAUGCUUAUAGAGAAAUUGUGAUUGAAAUCCCCAAAGUUAAGUAUUCAUUCCUUCAAGCAACUGGUAAUUAGUGAAGAAUUGUGCACUUACAGUCAGUAUUACAUUCAGCACUUAAUUAUAUACUGUCACAAAUUGUUUCCCAGUUGUUGCAUGUAUGUUCAUCUUGUCUCCCCGGACUCGAUCAUAAACUCAGUGUGAGCAAGUGCUGGGGUUUGGUCUUUUAUUGGUGUCUCCCGCUGUGCCUAGCACAGCUCUAAACACACACAGAUACUCAAAAGUUGAUGGAUGCUGACUGGAAUAAAUCCAUGAGCUUAGGAAAAUUUGGCCUUUGGAAGGGAAAUUUAUUUGGUUAUCCCAGCAUGCCAAGAGCAGGGCAAGUUUCUCAGGAGAACCAAGAAAGUGAACACAUUAUGUAGCUUGAGAUUGCAUGUGUUAAAUGGAGAAGAGAAUUUGAAAGGAGGCAUCGUAUCUGAGUGAAAAGAAAUUGUAGGUGACUCAGGGUCAGGUGCUCGCUGCGGAGCAGCUUGAUUUGGAUUUUGUUGAUUUAUCUACAUUUUACAAUGUCUGAAAAUAGUCAUUAGGCCUGGAAGGGGAUCAGGAACAGAGGGCUCCAGUGCUGCAUGGCUGCUUCGCAAUUUUCUGGGAUCUCCAUACUCUUCAAAAGCUUCGUCUGUGAUUUCUUUAUAAAAAAGCAACUGAAAAACAAGGCUUUGCUACUAUCCAUUUGUGACGGACAAAAAUAAAAAGUAUUUGCCAUUUUGUUUACUAAGUUUAUUUCUCUAUGUCAGAGGCAUAUGAAUAAUCUCAGCUAUCAGGAAUAUUCACUUAUAUUUUCAUAUUUUUCAGUAAGUCUCCAUUUUAAAAACAUUUAAUGCAUUCAUCUUACCCACAGCUGUCUUUGAAAGAAUACUAAAGAUUAUUAGUCUCAUAUGUGUUCACUUUAAUUUUUUAUGAAAGGUGGUAGUGGUAAUGGAAGGCUGGGAAAAUAGAAACAAAUCUACUUUACAAUAAUUGAAAGGUAAUCAAGAGAUGACUGCAGAUCAUACUAUUUCAUAUCAAUUCCAGGUAGAACUCUUACACAAAGGAAAGGCCCCCUAUGAACCUGCCCAUAUCUAUUUCUCAUAACUCUUUCCCACUGCUCUUCACGUUACAUACUAUAUUUCAGUGACUUCAAAUUGCUUAUGGCUCCCUGUAUACAACACAUUCUUCUAGUUCUGUGAUUUUGCUUGGCCUAAAAUGUCCUUCUUACUUUUCUUGGUAACUCUGACAUCUUUUAAGGCUUUUCUUGGGCAAAGCUCCCAGAAUACCUCUCUCCCUAAAUCCUCAGAUUGGACUAAGCACCUUAAUGAUUUAUCUAUGUCACUGUGGGCACCCUGGCAGGCCUCAAUGCCAUCUCUUUCCACAGUACAUGAAAAAUCUGAUUAGAUGCUUAUCUUCUCCAUUAAGCUGCAAAUCUACAUCCAUUUUUCUUCUCCUCCUCCUUCCCCUUCUCUUUCUUCUCUCUCUCCUUUUCUUUCUUUCCUCCAGUGUAGCUCAGUGCCUAGCAGCACACAGAAAGUACUCUAUAAAUUUUGGUAGUUAUCGCUAUUGUUGUUAUUAAAGGGCAAGAAUGAGAAUGGAGUCUUCUUGAGAAGUCGAGGUAAAGAAUAUUAUAGAUUAGAAUUUUCCAGAUUGGGGAGGGUCCAAAGUUGUCCUUUAUAUCUGUGUGUGUGUGUUAUUUUAUCUAAGAUCAAUACAUGUCCUGAAUAUUUUCCUCUGUCAGGAUUUUGUAGGAACUAGCGUUAUUUGAAUGUUUAGCUUUGCUUAUGUUAGGAGUCUCAAACAUUUUAAAAUAUUGUAUUUAAAACAUGGAAUUUUACAUUAGAUACGAAAUUUUAUACCUACUGGAUUUGUGGGAUUAUUUAAAUGUAAGCAGGUUAAUAAUGACUAAAGUAUUCUUUUCAAAUCUUCAAAACACACAGCCAUUAAUCAUUUUAGAAGGAAUAAAUGAAUCAAACAAUGUGAUCUAGUAGAAGGAGCCCUGGAAUGGGAUUUGGGUGCCUUUAAUUGGCUAUGUGACUUUUGACAAGCUGCCUAACCUCUCUAGUCCUUAUCUUGAUUAGAACAAGAAAGAUUACCAGAAGGGAAUUUAAAUUCCACUCUAAUGAAUUCUUUUCUGGUGUUUUGAUUCUACAUUAAAAUAUUUAAAAUUAUCUAGUACAAAUAGAAUACCUGAAUGAAUGGAAGAGCGGAAGUGGAGAAGGAGAGAUUAGGAUGGAGUGUGUCUCAUCAGGGACAACUUCUGGAAAGUCCUAAUUCAGUCUUGAAAGAAGUGAUAGGAAGCUUUACAAACUGGCAUUUAAAGGUGAGCUGAACUGCCUGUUUGAUUAUUUCAUUCUUUUAUGUAUCUCCUGUCUGUGGGAAGUAAAGGAAGCAGAAGAGUACGCCUGACAUGACGCUCAGAUGUUUAUACCUUAGUUACCAGGGGUACAUGUAAGGGGGAAGCUUUGUCAACAGAAAUGGAUUCCCUGGGGUGCCAAGGGGUUUAUGAUGCUUUGGAAGCUCUCUUUUCUCCCCUUGCGACCUUUUGAAAAAAAAAAAUAUCUUAAACCUCCUUAUAUGAAACAUUAUCUUCCCAGAUUUGUUCUUGUUCCCUCUUCUCCCAGUCCUUGCCUGCCCUAACAUCUUUUAUCUGCUGUCUCUCUUUUUCUGAUCUCACCCACUGCCUUUUUUCUUCCUGUUUCACUUGACUUCAGGGUGACCGUGGUAAAUGCAGCAGAAUGGGAUUAAAAAUAAAUGUCCCUUCAAAAAGUGUAAUUAACUAAAAAUGGCUUUAUCUUUUCUGUUCCUACAUCUGUUGUAUUUCCUUUUAUAUUGUAAGUUAUUCAAGUAUAAACAUUCAAACAUAUGAGGUGCUUUGAUUUUGGCUUACUUGCCUGAUAGCAGUAAAACAUAAGAUGCUGUUUUAGGUUAUAGGGAGGGAGAGAAAAUUCAUUUUUUUUUUUAUCAUUAACCUGGUCCACAGGGGAGAAGAAAAAUUAUAGGGUCUUGACCUUACUCUCUUUCUUUCAUGAAAGAAAUUCAACAUUUUCCUUCAUGCUCCCAACCCCUUUUUAAAAUAAGAACCAGAGAAUGUAAAAUGUUACCCAGUAAUCACAGAAAAUAUUCUAAAGUUCUGCAUGAUGGUAUGGUUAUUUUAAGGAAGAAAGAGACAAAGGAGAUAGGAGGAAACAAUAUGAAAGUGAAGAGAGAUAUAGAGAGAGCUUUACAUAUAUAGACAGAGACCAGUGGGAAGGCAAGAAUGGUAUAAUGGCAAGAAUGUGUGCUUUGCUUCCUAACUUUUGUUAGUUUUCAUUCCGAUUUGCUACUUUUUUGCUGUGGGACAAUUUACCCAAUCCAUUUCACCAUCAGUUUUCUUAUUUAUUAAUGGGGAAUAAAAAUGCAUAUUUUACUGGGUUACUUGUGGGGUUAAAUGAAAUAUCCAUUCUAUAAAUAUAUACUGAGUCAUUGUAAUGUUUACUGGUUUCUGCUGUAACCAUUUGUUUCUGGUUCUUAUCUGACUCCUUAAUCAAUACUUUUUCUUAUGGUCACUGCUUUUUUCCAUUUGUCAUGUCGUUGAUUCCCAUCUCAUGGUACUGCAGGAGACCAGAAUAUGCCACCCCAGACUAUGACUGUAAGAGACUAUAGUACGCUACUCAAAACAUACCUCUUUGACAUGAGGAUUAUUUUGAGCUAAUUAUUUUGAGAAAUAGCAGACACAGGAGAACCUCUGCAAAGUAGAAGUUAUCUUUUCGUAAGACUAUCUCCCAUUUGUAAAGAUAAACAUUUGUAAGGAUAUUUCCCUCUCUAUACCAGGAAGAGGAUGAUUCUAAAUCAUAAGAGAAUCCUGUCAGUGGAGAAGGCACUAAUAUAAAUCUGCAUUAAAAAACUUUACUCUUGUCUGUCAUACUUUUUCCUGGUCACCUUCCCAUAACUGGCAUCCGCCCACACCUUCCCUUCUUUGAUUUAGCUGAAGAUGAUAUUUAAACCUGAAUUCUAAGCCACCUCUUUGAGUUACUCAUUUCCCUGGGUAUGUCUAAUGUAUAUAUGGGAUAUACAUGUUACUGUACUUCUGUGUGUUUUUCUCUUGUUAAUCUGUCUUUUGUUAUAUGAGUCCCAGCCAAGAACUUAGAAGGGUAGAGUCCCUGCACGUAAAUGAAGCAGAGGAAAGACACAGGAGACAUGGUUCAUAGGUGAUUACCACAUCUUUUUUUUUUUUUUUUUUUUUUUUUGGGUACCACAUCUUUUAAUGCAAAGUUUUGAGAGUCAGGUUGCUUUUAACAAAUAUUAUAAUGACAUUCUUUCCCUUCAAUGUGUGUGGAUGUGUGUGGAAGGUACAAUAUUUAUCCAAGAGCUGCUGAUUUUCUAUGCUUGCUGAAGAGAGACAAGGACAGUGCAGAACCAGACACUGAAUAUCAUUUAAUCCUUCAGCUGAUCCUUUAUUUGACCUACUGUUUCAUAUACCUUCUCAAAUUAAAUGUUGAUGUCUGGAUGGGAUUAUUAGUACAGCCAUAGUAGGUGUGAGCCAAUAAGAGAUUCAGGAAGCACACAACAUUCCAUUUAUUUUUAUCUUUCAAUUUCUAGUGAUAUUUUCAUAAUCUUUGAAGGCAUUUUUAUGGUAGAAUGAAUACCUGGGUAGAAACCAAAAUAACAGAAAUAAAUGGAAGAACAUCUGGCUGAUUCAACCACAUUAAAAUUUGAAGUCAAACUGGGCUUAUUAAUACUUAUGACUUGAAAAUAUGUCCUUGGAUUUUGUCUAACAGUAUCCAAUGUGAUAUGCAAUGAUCAAAUGAUUAGAUUUUCUUAGUUAUUUAAAUAUUGAAUAACUUGAAUCUUUUGUUAUUUGAAAAUAAACAAGUCUUU
rnacentral:lncRNA from 1 species